rnacentral:rRNA from 1 species
CCAGACCGUGAUGCAUAGCCGACCUGAGAGGGUAAUUGGCCCACACUGGGACUGAGACCCGGCCCAGAUUCCUACGGGAGGCAGCAGUAGGGAAUCUUCCACAAUGGACGAAAGUCUGAUGGAGCAACGCCGCGUGAGUGAAGAAGGUUUUCGGAUCGUAAAACUCUGUUGUUGGAGAAGAAUGUAUCUGAUAGUAACUGAUCAGGUAGUGACGGUAUCCAACCAGAAAGCCACGGCUAACUACGUGCCAGCAGCCGCGGUAAUACGUAGGUGGCAAGCGUUGUCCGGAUUUAUUGGGCGUAAAGCGAGCGCAGGCGGUUUCUUAAGUCUGAUGUGAAAGCCUUCGGCUCAACCGAAGAAGUGCAUCGGAAACUGGGAAACUUGAGUGCAGAAGAGGACAGUGGAACUCCAUGUGUAGCGGUGAAAUGCGUAGAUAUAUGGAAGAACACCAGUGGCGAAGGCGGCUGUCUGGUCUGUAACUGACGCUGAGGCUCGAAAGCAUGGGUAGCAAACAGGAUUAGAUACCCUGGUAGUCCAUGCCGUAAACGAUGAGUGCUAGGUGUUGGAGGGUUUCCGCCCUUCAGUGCCGCAGCUAACGCAUUAAGCACUCCGCCUGGGGAGUACGACCGCAAGGUUGAAACUCAAAGGAAUUGACGGGGGCCCGCACAAGCGGUGGAGCAUGUGGUUUAAUUCGAAGCAACGCGAAGAACCUUACCAGGUCUUGACAUCCUUUGACCACUCUAGAGAUAGAGCUUUCCCUUCGGGGACAAAGUGACAGGUGGUGCAUGGUUGUCGUCAGCUCGUGUCGUGAGAUGUUGGGUUAAGUCCCGCAACGAGCGCAACCCUUAUUACUAGUUGCCAGCAUUAAGUUGGGCACUCUAGUGAGACUGCCGGUGACAAACCGGAGGAAGGUGGGGACGACGUCAAAUCAUCAUGCCCCUUAUGACCUGGGCUACACACGUGCUACAAUGGAUGGUACAACGAGUUGCGAGACCGCGAGGUUUAGCUAAUCUCUUAAAACCAUUCUCAGUUCGGAUUGUAGGCUGCAACUCGCCUACAUGAAGCCGGAAUCGCUAGUAAUCGCGGAUCAGCAUGCCGCGGUGAAUACGUUCCCGGGCCUUGUACACACCGCCCGUCACACCAUGAGAGUUUGUAACACCCAAAGCCGGUGAGGUAACCCUUCGGGGAGCCAGCCGUCUAAG